ACGGAGGGGGCUAGCGUUGUUCGGAAUUACUGGGCGUAAAGCGCACGUAGGCGGCGAUUUAAGUCAGGGGUGAAAGCCCAGUGCUCAACACUGGAACUGCCCUUGAGACUGGAUUGCUUGAAUCCGGGAGAGGUGAGUGGAAUUCCGAGUGUAGAGGUGAAAUUCGUAGAUAUUCGGAAGAACACCAGUGGCGAAGGCGGCUCACUGGACCGGCAUUGACGCUGAGGUGCGAAAGCGUGGGGAGCAAACAGG
rnacentral:rRNA from 1 species